rnacentral:tRNA from 1 species
AAUGCAGUUGGAACUACAUGACUCAUAAUCAGCCGGUUGCGGGUUCGAAUCCCGUC